AUGAUCAAGGUGUCCCAGAGGAAAAGUCAACUCAGUGAAGGAGGUGAUUCAAGUAAGAGAUUUAGUGGAACAGUUCACGAAAGAAGGGCAGUAUACAGUUAUAGAGGACAGAAGCAGAAAAAAGUUAUGUUAACAGUGGAACAGGCCCAAGAUCAACAUUAUGUGCUUGUAUUAUGGGGUCCUGGAGCAGCCUGGUACCCUCAACUUCAAAGGAAAAAAGGUUAUAUUAGGGAAUUUAAAUAUCUUUUUGUUCAGCGCAAUUACACACUAGAAAACCUAGAAUUGCAUACAAUGCCUUGAUCAUCCCAUGAGUGCUUGUUUGAUGAUGAUAAAAGGGCAAUUACAUUUAAAGCAAAAUUUCAAAAAAGUACACCCUCCUUUGUGAAGAUAUCAGACUUAGCAACCCACCUAGAGGAUAAGUGUUCAGGAGUGAUACUACGUAAAGCCCAGAUUUCAGAGCUGGCAUUUCCUAUUACAGCAACUCAGAAGAUAGCUCUAAAUGCUCACAGUUCUCUGAAGAGUAUUUUUCUCUUCUCUUCCCAACAUCGUAUAUACUGGCUGUGCAAAAUGUGGAUUGGAACUAGAAACAGAUGAGAACAGGAUCUAUAAACAGUGUUUUAGCUGCUUGCCAUUUACUAUGAAGAAAAUAUACUAUAGGCCAGCCUUAAUGACUGUAGUUGAUGGAAGACAUGAUGUUUGCAUCCGUGUAGAAUCAAAGCUGAUGGAGAAGAUUCUUCUCAACUUUUCUGCAGACUGCCUCAACAGAGUGAUAGUUCCUUCCUCAGAGAUCACCUAUGGGAUGGUCGUGGCAGACCUGUUCCACUCUUUGUUGGCAGUCAGUGUAGAACCUUGUGUAUUGAAGAUUCAGAGCCUUUUUGUGUUAGAUGAAAAGAGCUAUCCAUUACAACAAGAUUUCUCCCUCCUGGAUUUUUAUCCUGACAUUGUAAAGCAUGGAGCCGAUGCCCUUCUCUGAGGCCAGAGGAAGAAAGUGCAGACAUUUCAAGGAAGAAGUACUGAAAUGAUUUGUCUUUUGAAAUAAAUGAAUGACAGGACUUUUGCUUUGGAUUUUUUAUUAAAUAUAUUUUACAAAGAGAAUUGCAGUAGAUAUAUAAAUUAAAACUUUUUUCUAAGAAAAUCCUGUGAGGCUUAAAAAGAUUGUUUUUGUUUUUUUGGUUUCUUCCUUUCUUCUGGAGAAAUGAUCUACCAGUCAAGGCAGUAUGUAGCCGAUCCCUGGGAAUUAAAGGUUUGCCCAUUUAUUCACUGUGUUUAGUCCCUGCUACAUUCCAGGCAUUGUACUAAGUAUGGGGAACUACAUGGAAGACAUUCCCUCAGAAACUGCUGCAGUGCUUUUGCUUAUCCCUACCUAAAAAACCUUCAAUGUGAAAUCAUUUCCUUGGUUAUAACUAUACAUGAUAAUGGAUUAGUUUAUAUAAACCUAUGUUUAGGCAAGUUCAAAACAAGCGUGUCUUUCUAUAAAAAGCAUUGAAAAUGAAGGAAAUGAGAUCAUGUUUCAAUUUAUUAAAGCGAGGAAGAGCAUUCUGUGCUUAGUUCGUGUCUAGGAUUUGAGUGCCUUACUGAAUGUAUUUACCAGCAAACAUGUAGCAAUCGUUUCUCUCAUUGUGAUUGUAGAAGCUCAUGUAAAAUGGUAGUCAUUAAUAAGGAAGUAUGGAGUGGUACUUAUUCUGUAAGUUCAGAGUAUGCCAAGUGUUAAUAUAUUAUCAUAUUGCCUGAAAAUAAAUUUAUGAUGACAUUAA